rnacentral:rRNA from 1 species
CAAGUCGAACGAGUUUCCGGGCUUGCUCGGAAACUAGUGGCGAACGGCUGAGUAACGCGUAGGUGACCUACCCCGUAGUGUGGAAUAACUGCCCGAAAGGGUAGCUAAUACCGCAUGUUGAGCCGACAUCAAUGUCGUCUCCAAAGCAGAAAUGCGCUAUGGGCGGGGCCUGCGUUCGAUUAGCUAGUUGGUGGGGUAAUGGCUCACCAAGGCGACGAUCGAUAGGUGGUCUGAGAGGACGAUCACCCAGACUGGGACUGAGACACGGCCCAGACUCCUACGGGAGGCAGCAGUCGGGAAUUUUGCGCAAUGGGGGAAACCCUGACGCAGCAAUACCGCGUGUGGGAUGAAGGCCUUCGGGUCGUAAACCACUUUUUUCGGGGACGAUAAUGACGGUACCCGAAGAAUAAGCCACGGCUAACUACGUGCCAGCAGCCGCGGUAAUACGUAGGUGGCAAGCGUUGUCCGGAUUUACUGGGCGCAAAGCGCGCGCAGGCGGUGAAUGAAGUCGAAAGUGAAAGCCCCGAGCUCAACUCGGGAACUGCUUUCGAAACCAGUUCACUUGAAGGUGGAAGAGGGAAGUGGAAUUCCGAGUGUAGCGGUGGAAUGCGUAGAUAUUCGGAGGAACACCAGAGGCGAAGGCGACUUCCUGGUCCAAUCUUGACGCUGAGGCGCGAAAGCUAGGGGAGCAAACAGGAUUAGAUAUCCUGGUAGUCCUAGCUGUAAACGAUGGAUACUAGGUGUUGGAGGUUUUAACCCCUUCGGCGCCGCAGCUAACGCAUUAAGUAUCCCGCCUGGGGAGUACGGCCGCAAGGCUAAAACUCAAAGGAAUUGACGG